GAUGAACGCUGACAGAAUGCUUAACACAUGCAAGUCAACUUGAAUUUGGGUUUUUAACUUCGGUUUGGGUGGCGGACGGGUGAGUAACGCGUAAAGAACUUGCCUCACAGCUAGGGACAACAUUUGGAAACGAAUGCUAAUACCUAAUAUUAUGAUAAUAGGGCAUCCUAUAAUUAUGAAAGCUAUAAGCGCUGUGAGAGAGCUUUGCGUCCCAUUAGCUAGUUGGAGAGGUAACGGCUCACCAAGGCGAUGAUGGGUAGCCGGCCUGAGAGGGUGAUCGGCCACAAGGGGACUGAGACACGGCCCUUACUCCUACGGGAGGCAGCAGUGGGGAAUAUUGGACAAUGGACCGGGAGUCUGAUCCAGCAAUUCUGUGUGCACGAUGAAGUUUUUCGGAAUGUAAAGUGCUUUCAGUUGGGAAGAAACAAAUGACGGUACCAACAGAAGAAGUGACGGCUAAAUACGUG
rnacentral:rRNA from 1 species